rnacentral:rRNA from 1 species
GACGAACGCUGGUGGCGUGCUUAACACAUGCAAGUCGAACGCAUCCUUCGGGGUGAGUGGCAGACGGGUGAGUAACGCGUGGGAACGUGCCCUUCAGUUCGGGAUAACUCAGGGAAACUUGGGCUAAUACCGGAUACGUGCGAGAGCAGAAAGAUUUAUCGCUGAAGGAUCGGCCCGCGUCUGAUUAGCUAGUUGGUGGGGUAAUGGCCCACCAAGGCGACGAUCAGUAGCUGGUCUGAGAGGAUGAUCAGCCACAUUGGGACUGAGACACGGCCCAAACUCCUACGGGAGGCAGCAGUGGGGAAUAUUGGACAAUGGGCGCAAGCUUGAUCCAGCCAUGCCGCGUGAGUGAUGAAGGCCUUAGGGUUGUAAAGCUCUUUCGUCCGGGACGAUAAUGACGGUACCGGAAGAAGAAGCCCCGGCUAACUUCGUGCCAGCCGCCGCCGUAA